CCUGACUUAUAGAGACUAUGCAGGUAUCAGUGCUGUAUCACAUGUGUGUCUGUAGGUGGCAGAAAGAGAGACACUAUGUCUGCCCAGUAUUUGGACAUGUGAACAUAAGAACAAUUAGUUUUAAAUU
ensembl:snoRNA